AUUGAACGCUGGCGGCAGGCUUAACACAUGCAAGUCGAGCGGGGUGAUGGUGCUUGCACUAUCACUUAGCGGCGGACGGGUGAGUAAUGCUUAGGAAUCUGCCUAUUAGUGGGGGACAACAUCUCGAAAGGGAUGCUAAUACCGCAUACGUCCUACGGGAGAAAGCAGGGGAUCACUUGUGACCUUGCGCUAAUAGAUGAGCCUAAGUCGGAUUAGCUAGUUGGUGGGGUAGAGGCCUGCCAAGGCGACGAUCUGUAGCGGGUCUGAGAGGAUGAUCCGCCACACUGGGACUGAGACACGGCCCAGACUCCUACGGGAGGCAGCAGUGGGGAAUAUUGGACAAUGGGGGGAACCCUGAUCCAGCCAUGCCGCGUGUGUGAAGAAGGCCUUAUGGUUGUAAAGCACUUUAAGCGAGGAGGAGGCUCUUUUGGUUAAUACCCAAGAUGAGUGGACGUUACUCGCAGAAUAAGCACCGGCUAACUCUGUGCCAGCCGCCGCGGUAA
rnacentral:rRNA from 1 species